rnacentral:rRNA from 1 species
GACGAACGCUGGCGGCGUGCUUAACACAUGCAAGUCGAACGGAAAGGCCCUGCUUUUGUGGUGUGCUCGAGUGGCGAACGGGUGAGUAACACGUGAGUAACCUGCCCUUGACUUUGGGAUAACUUCAGGAAACUGGGGCUAAUACCGGAUAGGAGCUCCUGCUGCAUGGUGGGGGUUGGAAAGUUUCGGCGGUUGGGGAUGGACUCGCGGCUUAUCAGCUUGUUGGUGGGGUAGUGGCUUACCAAGGCUUUGACGGGUAGCCGGCCUGAGAGGGUGACCGGCCACAUUGGGACUGAGAUACGGCCCAGAAUCCUACGGGAGGCAGCAGUGGGGAAUAUUGCACAAUGGGCGGAAGCCUGAUGCAGCAACGCCGCGUGCGGGAUGACGGCCUUCGGGUUGUAAACCGCUUUCGCCUGUGACGAAGCGUGAGUGACGGUAAUGGGUAAAGAAGCACCGGCUAACUACGUG